UGACUAGCUCAGUCGGUAGAGCAUGAGACUCCUAAUUUCAGGCUCAUGGGUUUGAGCCCCACAUUGGGCAAAA
rnacentral:tRNA from 1 species